rnacentral:rRNA from 1 species
GCGUGUGUGAUGAAGGCCUUAGGGUUGUAAAGCACUUUCAAUGGUGAAGAUGAUGACGGUAACCAUAGAAGAAGCCCCGGCUAACUUCGUGCCAGCAGCCGCGGUAAUACGAAGGGGGCGAGCGUUGUUCGGAAUUACUGGGCGUAAAGGGCGCGCAGGCGGUCAAUUCAGUUAGGUGUGAAAGCCCCGGGCUUAACCUGGGAACUGCACUUAAUACUGAUUGACUAGAAAACGGAAGAGGAGAGUGGAAUUCCCAGUGUAGAGGUGAAAUUCGU